AUUGAACGCUGGCGGCAUGCCUUACACAUGCAAGUCGAACGGCAGCAUGAUCUAGCUUGCUAGAUUGAUGGCGAGUGGCGAACGGGUGAGUAAUACAUCGGAACGUGCCCUGUAGUGGGGGAUAACUAGUCGAAAGAUUAGCUAAUACCGCAUACGACCUGAGGGUGAAAGUGGGGGACCGCAAGGCCUCAUGCUAUAGGAGCGGCCGAUGUCUGAUUAGCUAGUUGGUGAGGUAAAGGCGCACCAAGGCGACGAUCAGUAGCUGGUCUGAGAGGACGAUCAGCCACACUGGGACUGAGACACGGCCCAGACUCCUACGGGAGGCAGCAGUGGGGAAUUUUGGACAAUGGGGGCAACCCUGAUCCAGCAAGCCGCGUGUGUGAAGAAGGCCUUCGGGUUGUAAAGCACUUUUGUCCGGAAAGAAAUCGCACUUACUAAUAUUAGGUGUGGAUGACGGUACCGGAAGAAUAAGGACCGGCUAACUACGUGCCAGCCGCCGCAGUAACAC
rnacentral:rRNA from 1 species